rnacentral:rRNA from 1 species
ACUCCAGGCAUGCCUUAGUACGGCGAGUGAAGCGGCAAAAGCUCAAAUUUGAAAUCUAGCACUUUCAGUGUUCGAGUUGUAAUUUGAAGAAGGUAACUUUGGAAUUGGCUCUUGUCUAUGUUCCUUGGAACAGGACGUCACAGAGGGUGAGAAUCCCGUGCGAUGAGAUGUCCAAUUCUAUGUAAAGUGCUUUCGAAGAGUCGAGUUGUUUGGGAAUGCAGCUCUAAGUGGGUGGUAAAUUCCAUCUAAAGCUAAAUAUUGGCGAGAGACCGAUAGCGAACAAGUACAGUGAUGGAAAGAUGAAAAGAACUUUGAAAAGAGAGUGAAAAAGUACGUGAAAUUGUUGAAAGGGAAGGGCUUGAGAUCAGACUUGGUAUUUUGUGUUCCUUAUCCUUCUUGGAUUAGGUUCCUCACAGCUUACCGGGCCAGCAUCGGUUUGGAUGGCAGGAUAAUGACAUUGGAAUGUAGCUUUGCUUCGGUGAAGUGUUAUAGACUUUGUUGAUACUGCCUAUCUAGACCGAGGACUGCGUCUUUGACUAGGAUGCUGGCGUAAUGAUCUUAAGCCGCCCGUCUUGAAA